GGAAUAUUGCACAAUGGGCGCAAGCCUGAUGCAGCCAUGCCGCGUGGGUGAAGAAGGCCCUAGGGUUGUAAACCCCUUUCAGCGGGGAAGAUAAUGACGGUACCCGCAGAAGAAGCCCCGGCUAACUCCGUGCCAGCAGCCGCGGUAAUACAGAGGGUGCGAGCGUUAAUCGGAAUUACUGGGCGUAAAGCGCACGUAGGCGGCUCUGCAAGUCGGGUGUGAAAUCCCCGGGCUCAACCUGGGAACUGCAUUCGAUACUGCAUUGCUGGAGUAUGGGAGAGGGAAGUGGAAUUUCCGGUGUAGCGGUGAAAUGCGUAGAUAUCGGAAGGAACACCAGUGGCGAAAGCGACUUCCUGGACCAAUACUGACGCUCAGGUGCGAAAGCGUGGGGAGCAAA
rnacentral:rRNA from 1 species